AUUUAAAUGAGUCAAACUAGUCAAAAUAAACUUGGAAGCAUUUCCUCUUGGCGCAGAAUCACUUCAAUCAGUGCUUAAAUUUCCAGCACGCUAUCUUUGCUAGAUUCUUCCGUUCCAAUCUGCUUCAUAGACGGUUACAAUCAGAGUGAUCCUUAUGGGUUUUUGAUCGGUGAUGAUGUCAGGAAAUGAACCACUUGAGUGUUUCUUCAAUUCGAUUAGUGUUGUCAAAGUGAAUAUUAGGAAGGCCGCAAUGGAUCUUGAGUGUUGUUGGGUGAAGCAACUUUGCAAGUUUCAGAUUUGUGAUGCGAAGAAAAAGGGGUUCUCAAUGAAGGUACAUGUGAAUGAAGGUGAAAUUUGGAGUACAGGGUUGAAGGAGAAGGAGGUUGUUAAUGGCUUAAUACAAGCUCUGCCAUUUUCUUUCAAAUCAGGAGUAAAGAGAUCUAAGAAAAUGGACGGUGAAGAUGAAUUAUGUUCUUGCAUGCAGCUCGCUGUUUUGCCUGAAGAGAAGCUAAAUGGAUCAAAGAGUCAGUUUGUUAGACCUACUUCGGAAAAGGGUGACUGGGAGACAGAAGGGAAACAUGUUCCAUUAAAGUGCAUGAUGGGUUUUAUUGAUCAGUUGUGUCAGUCUCUUCCACAUUUGGAUAAGGUAGUGCACGAAGAUCGGAUUGAUUUCGGGCAAACAUCCCCGCGACGGCCUUCUUCAUCUCGGUUUAGUUAUAAGAAAGCAGUUGCAAAAUGGCUCAGAUUAGAUGUCAAUGAUUUCAUGAGGGAUUUUAGAUUUGCAAAGGUAGGUGGUGUUCCAUCUAGUGUAGUUGGACUAAGCUGCAAAUCAAGAAAUGAAGAUGGAGAUGGUAGUGCAACCCUUGAAAACAAGGAAGCUGAAGGAAAGAGGUCCUUUAAGGAGCUUGACAGAGAUAGCAAUGCCCAUGCAACUUCAGAAGAUCUGGUGAGUAUUUCGUCCGAGACAGCAAGCAUAGCUGCUGUUCCGUCACCUGAUGAAAUACCUGCUGGGAGUGUUCUACGGUCAGCCAUAGCCGGUGGCCUUUCAUGUGCUUUUUCUUGUGCACUAAUGCAUCCAGUUGAUACAAUCAAGACCCAAGUACAGGCAUCAACACUAUCGCUCUUUGAAAUCAUUUCCAUGGUUCCACAGAUUGGAGCAAGGGGUUUAUACAAGGGAUCAAUCCCUGCAAUUCUUGGGCAGUUGUCAGGUCAUGCCUUGCGAACUGGGAUAUUUGAAGCAAGCAAGUUGGUAUUGCUACAAGGUUCUCCAACAAAACUUCCUGAAAUCCAGGUAAAUUCUAUAUUAUCAUUAUGUAGCACAAUUUUGGGAACAGUUACGCGGAUACCCAGUGAGGUGUUGAAGCAGCGGUUGCAGGCAGGACUUUAUGACAGUUUGGGUGAGGCAUUAGUUGGGACUUGGCGCCAAGAUGGACUUGGGGGUUUCUUUCGGGGAACUGGAGCUACCCUUUGUCGCGAAGUUCCAUUUUAUGUUGCUGGCAUGGGUCUAUAUGAUGAAUCUAAAAAGGCCGUUCAACGACUAAUACAGCGGGAACUGGAGCCAUGGGAGGCAGUUGUUGUUGGAGCUAUAGCUGGUGGAUUAGCUGGUGUCACCACAACGCCCUUUGACGUAAUCAAAACUAGAAUGAUGACUACACAGGGUCAGUCUGUCUCAACUGCCGUAGUUGCCUUAUCUAUAUUACGGCAGGAGGGACCUCUUGCCUUAUAUAAAGGUGCAGUUCCCAGGUUCUUUUGGAUUGCUCCUUUGGGUGCCAUAAACUUAGCAGGUUAUGAGCUUGCAAGGAAGGCCCUAGACAGUCUAUCCGGCAAACAAAUGUCGCAGAAGAAGGCGACUGGAUCGGAGUAAUGUGUUAUUCAAGCUCUCAUAUUUGGAGUUCAUUGCUGCUCAUAUUUUGGCUCUCAAUUUGCCAGCAUCUCUGUGACUGUCCAAGAUGCACAUUUUGAUUCAUUGUUAUUCUUGUAUCUUGUUCUCAUUCAUUUGUAGCAGAGUAGUUCAAAACUAUUUUAUAGGUACAUUAAUAAUUAAAUUGCCUUCUUUUCAGAGAGAGAGAGAAUAAAAACGGCAGUUAAUUCCUUGAGGGUAUUCAUUAGGUCGGAAGCCCGAUAACUAAUCCUUCGGAUACUGCAGAAGCAAAGUGGGCGACCCUCUCAAGCAAGCAAACUCUAUUCCCAUCCUCCAGUUGAAUUCUGGAUAGAUCUGGUGCUUACGUUACUUGGAUACUUACCAGGGAUUAUAUAUGCCAUUUAUGUA